GUAACAUACAGCUUACUAUUUGCCUCUCCCACUCUGCCUUUGAGCUGUGGAGAAUGGAGUUGGAGGUGGUUAAGGGAAAUAAAAGGAGAGAUGUAGCUGUGGUAGAUAGCUGUGAUGAAAUAGGAGAAAGGUGCUGCAGCGAUUCUUUGGUUCUUUGCUAAUGCCAGCUGCUGAGAUUAUUCAUCCUGUUCAACAACAAGCUAGUUGAGACUAGAUAAGAUAAAAGGUCCAGAAAAUAAUCAGCUAAGAGAUGGGGCACUAUCUCCUAAAUCUGAAACAAGAUCUUGGGUCCAUCUCCUGUGCUGAUAGUUUCAGAACUCUAAUAGUUCCAGGCUUGUUUUAUCUGUCUCAGAUACAUGAGGAAAGUUUCUCCAAGGAGAGCUUCACAAGCACUGAGCUAGCUCUGGCAAUGUAUGCAUCAACCUCAUCAUCCAGGGAUAUGGACAUCCCUCAAAAGUAUACUGCCAAGAUAAGUGAACUCAUCUACAGCAUUCAAAAUUUCUCCAUUUGUACCCAUUGGUUCCAUAUAUGAAUGAUACAAUGCCAGCUAGUGUAGAAUCACUGUUUUCUUAGUGUUAAGCAUCAGGUCAAAAUUAGCAUGAGCAGAAGAGUAAUGAUCCACAUUCUGUUUCAUCUUAAUCUCAGAGACUUCAUUGGGUGCACAAUCAUCUAUGAAGAGAAAGUCAUGCACCAACUCUCCCUACGUUUUAGUUUUGGUUUGUAGCCUUUUAAAGUUAAAUAAUUUAUCUUCAAUAUAGUAGCUGACCCUGAUACUAUUUUCUUCCUAAUUGAGGACAUCUAAAAUUAAUAUUGAAAACAUAAUUCAAAAAAGCAUGUGAGCAAGCACAGAGCAUUGUUUCAUUGCAUUGUUGUUUGAAAAAGUCCAAGAUUAUUGUCUAUUAUUCAGAAGCCUUACAAACAUGCCAUUAUGGACCUGGCAUACAAUACUGAUGAACUUCUCCAGGCAACCAAAUUUUCCUGUGAUCUUCCAAAAGUCCUCACAACUAACAGUAUCAAAAGCUUUGGUUAGGUCAAUCCUGCACACAUACCUCUUUUCUAUUUCAGGAAUUUCUCCUAGAGUUGUCAGGCAGCAAACACUAUAUUAACCAUUCUUUAGUCCUUUCUGAAGCUACAUUGACUCUCAGGUAGAUGACCAUCUUCUAGGUGAAGGAUAUCUAUUAAAAAGGACCUGAGCAAGAGUAUUGCCAGCAAUGACCAAGAGAGAAACCCCUUUGUGAUUGUCACAGGACAACUUAUUUUCUUUUUCUUUAUAGAAAUGGACAAUAGAGGUAUCUUUGAUCUCCUGGGGGAUAACCUUCCCUUGCCAUAUAAUUAAGAAGAUUUCAGUCAACUUUUGAUUGAGAAAUGGAUCCCCUGCCUUGUCACUCUCUGCUGGAAUUGAAUUGACGCCAAGGACUUUGUCACACAAGAGUAGCCUGGUGGCAUUUAAAACCUUAAUGGCUUCAGCAUUGAUUGGUGAUGGUCUGUUGAGAAUGCUAUGGUGUUCAUCCCAUCUCUCCAGGAUCAUGUCCUUCUCAAUGACCAAUGUGACUUUAUUAGCAUGGAGUAGAUGAGAUGCACCAUAGGUCUUUGACCCAUAAAUAAUCAUCAGGACAUCAUAAAAGUUAUUUGAGUUGUUAUCAGUAUUAAACUGCAUUCCACCUGCAAUCCCACUGAACCAAAAAUCCUGCAUCUCUCUAAUUUUCAUUUGCACUUUACUUUUGGAGUUAAGCACUGCCUUCUUAGAGAUAGACAAAUCCUUAGGAGUUCUCAGUUUUUGUACUUUCUGAAUUUCUUCUUCAUUUUCAUCAAACCAAUCCUAAUGUUUAUGAGUAUUCUGGCUCAGACAAGUAAAUGCAGUGCAAUACACCAAACCUUUGAAAGCUACUUAUUCUUUUUCUAUUUCACUAUUGCCAACCAAGUGUACACUCAGCUUUCCCUCCAAGUCAGCAACAAACUGUUCAGGCAAGGAGAAGCACUCCAAUCUGUUGAUGUUAGGUCUUUUGGUAGUUGCCUUACACUGGGGCUGCCACUUUUGUUAAAUGUUAGCUCAAAAAGGAUAGGUCUGUGAUGAGUCUAGCAUAAUGAGCCACAAAUUGCCUUCUUCAUUCUGAUACCCUGUCUAUUUCUUCUCCUUACAGUGAUAGUUUAUUAAAUACCAAUGUUUGCUUCCAUGGGUGUAAGCAUGGAGUUUUAUUAUAUUUAGGUAAGUGGAAGACAACAUUGGUGAUUAGAAAAUCAAGAGAUGAAAAGUCUUUUUGGCAAAAAAAGCAAAAAAAAAAUGGCCAAAAAAAGUUGAAAAAGGAAUAAAUGACAAUUGCUGUUGCUGUUUCUUACUUCA
ensembl:lncRNA